CACGUAGGAGGCGAGCGUUGUCCGGAAUCAUUGGGCGUAAAGAGCGCGCAGGCGGCUUGGCAAGUCGGGUGUGAAAUCCCGGGGCUCAACCCCGUGACUGCAUCCGAUACUGUCAGGCUAGAGGUAGGUAGGGGAGAUCGGAAUUCCUGGUGUAGCGGUGAAAUGCGCAGAUAUCAGGAGGAACACCGGUGGCGAAAGCGGCGCGCUGGACCUCUUCUGACGCUGAGGCGCGAAAGCCAGGGGAGCGAACGGG
rnacentral:rRNA from 1 species